rnacentral:rRNA from 1 species
GACAGAGGGUGCAAACGUUGUUCGGAAUUACUGGGCGUAAAGCGUGUGUAGGUGGCUGCGAAAGUCGGAUGUGAAAGCCCUGGGCUCAACUCAGGAAGUGCACCCGAUACUGCGUAGCUCGAGUACCGGAGAGGUUGGUAGAAUUCUCGGUGUAGAGGUGAAAUUCGUAGAUAUCGAGAGGAAUACCUGUGGCGAAGGCGGCCAACUGGACGAGUACUGACACUGAGACACGAAAGCGUGGGGGAGAAACAGG